rnacentral:rRNA from 1 species
CGGGUAAACAUUCACGGAGAGUUUGAUCCUGGCUCAGGACGAACGCUGGCGGCGUGCUUAACACAUGCAAGUCGAACGAUGAACCACUUCGGUGGGGAUUAGUGGCGAACGGGUGAGUAACACGUGGGCAAUCUGCCCUUCACUCUGGGACAAGCCCUGGAAACGGGGUCUAAUACCGGAUACGACACUCUCGGGCAUCCGAUGAGUGUGGAAAGCUCCGGCGGUGAAGGAUGAGCCCGCGGCCUAUCAGCUUGUUGGUGAGGUAACGGCUCACCAAGGCGACGACGGGUAGCCGGCCUGAGAGGGCGACCGGCCACACUGGGACUGAGACACGGCCCAGACUCCUACGGGAGGCAGCAGUGGGGAAUAUUGCACAAUGGGCGAAAGCCUGAUGCAGCGACGCCGCGUGAGGGAUGACGGCCUUCGGGUUGUAAACCUCUUUCAGCAGGGAAGAAGCGAAAGUGACGGUACCUGCAGAAGAAGCGCCGGCUAACUACGUGCCAGCAGCCGCGGUAAUACGUAGGGCGCGAGCGUUGUCCGGAAUUAUUGGGCGUAAAGAGCUCGUAGGCGGUCUGUCGCGUCGGAUGUGAAAGCCCGGGGCUUAACCCCGGGUCUGCAUUCGAUACGGGCAGACUAGAGUGUGGUAGGGGAGAUCGGAAUUCCUGGUGUAGCGGUGAAAUGCGCAGAUAUCAGGAGGAACACCGGUGGCGAAGGCGGAUCUCUGGGCCAUUACUGACGCUGAGGAGCGAAAGCGUGGGGAGCGAACAGGAUUAGAUACCCUGGUAGUCCACGCCGUAAACGGUGGGAACUAGGUGUUGGCGACAUUCCACGUCGUCGGUGCCGCAGCUAACGCAUUAAGUUCCCCGCCUGGGGAGUACGGCCGCAGGCUAAAACUCAAAGGAAUUGACGGGGCCCGCACAGGCAGCGGAGCAUGUGGCUUAAUUCGACGCAACGCGAAGAACCUUACCAAGGCUUGACAUACACCGGAAACGGCCAGAGAUGGUCGCCCCCUUGUGGUCGGUGUACAGGUGGUGCAUGGCUGUCGUCAGCUCGUGUCGUGAGAUGUUGGGUUAAGUCCCGCAACGAGCGCAACCCUUGUUCUGUGUUGCCAGCAUGCCCUUCGGGGUGAUGGGGACUCACAGGAGACUGCCGGGGUCAACUCGGAGGAAGGUGGGGACGACGUCAAGUCAUCAUGCCCCUUAUGUCUUGGGCUGCACACGUGCUACAAUGGCAGGUACAAUGAGCUGCGAAGCCGUGAGGCGGAGCGAAUCUCAAAAAGCCUGUCUCAGUUCGGAUUGGGGUCUGCAACUCGACCCCAUGAAGUCGGAGUUGCUAGUAAUCGCAGAUCAGCAUUGCUGCGGUGAAUACGUUCCCGGGCCUUGUACACACCGCCCGUCACGUCACGAAAGUCGGUAACACCCGAAGCCGGUGGCCCAACCCGUAAGGGAGGGAGCUGUCGAAGGUGGGACUGGCGAUUGGGACGAAGUCGUAACAAGGUAGCCGUACCGGAAGGUGCGGCUGGAUCACCUCCUUUCUA